rnacentral:rRNA from 1 species
UACGAAGGGGGGCUAGCGUUGCUCGGAAUCACUGGGCGUAAAGCGCACGUAGGCGGCUUACUAAGUCAGGGGUGAAAUCCCGGGGCUCAACCCCGGAACUGCCUUUGAUACUGAUAGUCUCGAGUCCGGAAGAGGUGAGUGGAAUUCCGAGUGUAGAGGUGAAAUUCGUAGAUAUUCGCAAGAACACCAGUGGCGAAGGCGGCCAACUGGCCCGAUACUGACGCUCAUGUGCGAAAGCGUGGGGAGCAAACAGG